CAAAGCUUUCUGUAGAUCCAACUCUGGGGGGCGCUCUUGUGCUGCAGCUCAAGCCCAGAUGCCCUCAGUAGCUUGAUGGCUGUACAGUUGGAGGUGCUUGAGUCAUUGGUGUAUGAGAACAGUUUACAUGCUUCACUGACCACACACUACAUUGAACGUUCAUUGGACUCCUUCACCAUACUUCACCCAUUGCAUGCAGGCUGGAUAGUGGACAUG